rnacentral:rRNA from 1 species
AGAGUUUGAUCCUGGCUCAGGACGAACGCUGGCGGCGUGCUUAACACAUGCAAGUCGAACGGUGAUCCAGGGCUUGCUCUGGUGAUCAGUGGCGAACGGGUGAGUAACACGUGAGUAACCUGCCCCUGACUCUGGGAUAACUGCUGGAAACGGUGGCUAAUACCGGAUAUGAAGCCUUCCCGCAUGGGAUGGGUUUGGAAAGAUUUUUUGGUUGGGGAUGGGCUCGCGGCCUAUCAGCUUGUUGGUGGGGUGAUGGCCUACCAAGGCGACGACGGGUAGCCGGCCUGAGAGGGCGACCGGCCACACUGGGACUGAGACACGGCCCAGACUCCUACGGGAGGCAGCAGUGGGGAAUAUUGCACAAUGGGCGCAAGCCUGAUGCAGCGACGCCGCGUGAGGGAUGGAGGCCUUCGGGUUGUAAACCUCUUUCAGCAGGGAAGAAGCGUGAGUGACGGUACCUGCAGAAGAAGCGCCGGCUAACUACGUGCCAGCAGCCGCGGUAAUACGUAGGGCGCAAGCGUUGUCCGGAAUUAUUGGGCGUAAAGAGCUCGUAGGCGGUUUGUCGCGUCUGCUGUGAAAACCUAAGGCUCAACCUUGGGCUUGCAGUGGGUACGGGCAGACUAGAGUGCGGUAGGGGUGACUGGAAUUCCUGGUGUAGCGGUGGAAUGCGCAGAUAUCAGGAGGAACACCGAUGGCGAAGGCAGGUCACUGGGCCGCAACUGACGCUGAGGAGCGAAAGCAUGGGGAGCAAACAGGAUUAGAUACCCUAGUAGUCC